rnacentral:rRNA from 1 species
GAUUAUGGCUCAGGAUGAACGCUAGCUACAGGCUUAACACAUGCAAGUCGAGGGGCAGCAUGUUGGUUGCUUGCAACCAAUGAUGGCGACCGGCGCACGGGUGAGUAACGCGUAUCCAACCUUCCCUAGGUAGAGGAUAGCCCGGCGAAAGUCGGAUUAAUACUCUAUGUUCUUCAAUGCGGGCAUCUAAGUUGAAGCAAAGAUUUAUCGCUAAGGGAUGGGGAUGCGUCUGAUUAGGUUGCAGGCGGGGUAACGGCCCACCUGGCCUACGAUCAGUAGGGGUUCUGAGAGGAAGGUCCCCCACACUGGUACUGAGACACGGACCAGACUCCUACGGGAGGCAGCAGUGAGGAAUAUUGGUCAAUGGGCGCGAGCCUGAACCAGCCAAGUAGCGUGCCAGGACGACUGCCCUAUGGGUUGUAAACUGCUUUUAUCAGGGAAUAAAGUGAGGCACGCGUGCCUUUUUGUAUGUACCUGAUGAAUAAGGACCGGCUAAUUCCGUGCCAGCCGCCGC